rnacentral:rRNA from 1 species
UACGGAGGGUGCAAGCGUUAUCCGGAGUCACUGGGUUUAAAGGGUGCGUAGGCGGGCAGGUAAGUCAGUGGUGAAAUCUCCGAGCUUAACUCGGAAACUGCCGUUGAUACUAUUUGUCUUGAAUAUUGUGGAGGUAAGCGGAAUAUGUCAUGUAGCGGUGAAAUGCUUAGAUAUGACAUAGAACACCAAUUGCGAAGGCAGCUUACUACACAACGAUUGACGCUGAGGCACGGAAGCGUGGGGAUCAAACAGG